rnacentral:rRNA from 1 species
GAUGAACGCUGGCGGCGUGCCUAAUACAUGCAAGUCGAGCGAACAGACGAGGAGCUUGCUCCUCUGACGUUAGCGGCGGAUGGGUGAGUAACACGUGGAUAACCUACCUAUAAGACUGGGAUAACUUCGGGAAACCGGAGCUAAUACCGGAUAAUAUAUUGAACCGCAUGGUUCAAUAGUGAAAGACGGUUUUGCUGUCACUUAUAGAUGGAUCCGCGCCGCAUUAGCUAGUUGGUAAGGUAACGGCUUACCAAGGCAACGAUGCGUAGCCGACCUGAGAGGGUGAUAGGCCGCAUUGGAACUGAGACACGGUCCAGACUCCUACGGGAGGCAGCAGUAGGGAAUCUUCCGCAAUGGGCGAAAGCCUGACGGAGCAACGCCGCGUGAGUGAUGAAGGUCUUCGGAUCGUAAAACUCUGUUAUUAGGGAAGAACAAAUGUGUAAGUAACUAUGCACGCCUUGACGGUACCUAAUCAGAAAGCCACGGCUAACUACGUG